rnacentral:lncRNA from 1 species
GCCAUUGAAACAACCCCUCUUGACCCUUUUCCCUUGAAAGAUCGAACUUUGGAGGAGACAUGGAGGGAAAGCAGAGAGUCCCCAGAAGCAGCGGAGGAGAAGCCUAGGCUGUGGAUGAGAGGAGAGGACUUGAGGUGGCGGCGCGUGGAAGGAAGGCGGAUGAGGGAUGCAGAAGAGCGGGAGGCGGAGGAAGAGGUGGUGGAGGCGGUGGUUUUGAGGAGGGAAAGAGUGGUGGAAGUGGUGGCAGAAGCCAUUUGGAGGCGAAGAGAGAAAGAGAGAGGAGAGGCUGAGUUGUAA